UUGUUCAUCCUAGAGCUGAAUCAAGUACUAACAAUUAAAUACUUUGAGUACUAUCUUUGAGUGCUGAACUCAAAGUACAGACAGUAAGAGAGUAAUGUUAUUUCUGACCCAGGGAAAAGAUCCAGGAGUUUUUGCCAGAGAUGAAGUUACCAGUAAUACUGAAACGCUUGCCAGAUGGAAGAAGUUAAUUAUAUCCCGCCUACAAGCACGUAGACUCCAGACUAGUCAGAACCAGAAGGUUGAUGCUGUUGACUCCUGAGUACCUCACCACCAACCAAUCGGAAGAAUGUCCAUGAGCUGAUCACAUAACCCACAACCCUCUCCUCAGGAUGUAUCCCCUUCUUUUCCAAUAUAAUUUCUGAGUAAAACCUGGGAAGUCAGGAGUUUGUUCUUUGGGACGAGUCCACCUCUUCCCCAGGAUUGCAAGCUUCCUCAGUAAAGCUGUCUUUCCUUUUACCCAA